AUUGAACGCUGGCGGCAUGCCUUACACAUGCAAGUCGAACGGUAACGGGCCUUCGGGUGCCGACGAGUGGCGCACGGGUGCGUAAUACAUCGGAACGUGCCCGAUCGUGGGGGAUAACGGGGCGAAAGCUUUGCUAAUACCGCAUACGAUCUACGGAUGAAAGCAGGGGACCGCAAGGCCUUGCGCGGACGGAGCGGCCGAUGGCAGAUUAGGUAGUUGGUGGGAUAAAAGCUUACCAAGCCGACGAUCUGUAGCUGGUCUGAGAGGUUGAUCAGCCACACUGGGACUGAGACACGGCCCAGACUCCUACGGGAGGCAGCAGUGGGGAAUUUUGGACAAUGGGCGCAAGCCUGAUCCAGCCAUGCCGCGUGCAGGAUGAAGGCCUUCGGGUUGUAAACUGCUUUUGUACGGAACGAAAAGCCUUCUUUUAAUACAGGAGGGUCAUGACGGUACCGUAAGAGUAAGCACCGGCUAACUACGUG
rnacentral:rRNA from 1 species